CUCCUGAAACUCUAGCCAUUUCCCCGUUUUUCUCAGCCGUGCGCCUCUCGCCUGAAACCUAGCCAGAUUCCUCGUCCCUUCUGUUCACCGGCCAGGCGGAGGACUGAUCCGUCGUCCAUUGUUGCGCUGCCGUCGAACUCCCCGCCGGCGAGCGCUUUCCUGUGAGGGCGCCGCCGUCGGUGAGAUCCUCGGCGGUGCUUCUGCACUUGCAAGGAGGUACGGCGUCGGCCUGAGGGUUGCGAACUGUGAACUACCGACGGCAAGACCACGGCGCGCGCGAUGGCUCGUGUCCUUCGCCUGGCGCUUGGGCUUAACCUGCAGCGGGUGGUGGUCGAGGGCGACGGCCUCAUGCUUGUGCGGCUGCUCCGUGGCGAGGACAAGCGGACGCGGAUCCCUGUGGCGCUGCAGAAGGAGAUCCACGGGCUGCUUCGCUGUUUUGCAGGGUGCGAUGUGAGGCAUGUGUACCGCGAGGGGAACCAGGUGGCGCACACCCUUUGCCGUCAGGCCUACCACUGCCCCGCCGUGUGGGUAGGGACUGUACCGUCCGUCGUGUUUGACAAGGCCGAGGAGGACCGGCGUGGCGUAUUGCAUGAGCGCUCGGUGGUCCGAUGAUUGGCUGGGCAUACAAAGUUCUGGAUGAGAAAUUUGCAAUAUCACCACCCUGGAAAGGUGGCUUCGCUGCAUUGCCACCGUUGAGCACGCUGAAGUGCCAAUAUCAAUCACUUUCUUGCUGUUCUUAUGCCAUCAUGCCUCAUUCACGAGUUCUUUUCAACUGUGCAACCCAAAAAAAACGGCCGUGCCCUUGGCUGUGUUUGCGGGCUUUGGCUUGACAUUUGGCCAAAAAACAGAACCAGACAGCCUGCAAUUGCUCUCUAGGCAACCGGCUUCAGUUUUGGCAUCAUGCUUGUUCUCCAUACUGCUGACACCAAUCUCCUGUGCCAUGAACCUUGAUGUGUGGUGAACAAAUCCUUAUCCGUACAAGAUAUAUAUGACAACACCCAUACAUGUUUUAGUAUCUCAGUUUAGGACUACAGAAUCCAAAACAAACUGCACAAUUAAACAUGUGACUCAGUUUAGCACUACAACCACAAAUAUUUCAGUUUAGGACUACAACCACAAAUAGAAUCCUAAGAGUUCUUUCUUUUUCUUCCUUGGGGUCAGUUUCUUUUGAACUAUCUUCUUGGUAGACGUUGCUAUCUUGGUUGAAGUAGGCAUAGUUGUCUGAGAAGAAUUGCUUUCUAACAGAGCAGCAAGUCGCCUGCACAAAUUUUGGAAUUACCUUUUUGUCAUUGUUGCUCCAGGGCGCUCUUGAAUUAUGGUUUCCCUAGUUGUUAUUGGCCUAUAUGGUGUUGCCAUCUGACUUUUACCACUUGAUUUAGUACUAUUCUUCCUAGGCUUUCUCAUCGUUUUCUUCGUACCAUUGAGUGGGCAUUUCUAACUAACUUUUGUGUGACCCAAUGUACCGCAUCUUUUGCACCUACGUUUUCCUCUUAUCAUCGUUUUGGGCUUUUCUUGUUCAGUUGGUUUUGCCUUUGAACUGGUGCCACCUUCAUCAUGUUUUGUCUCUGAACUGUUGCCGCCUUGAAGGGAACUUUUGAACCUCAAAUUUCUGUCUGCUAACAGUUCUUUUGCAAAUUGGUGCACCCAUAUCAAAUGGAAGUUCUACUGUGGGCCAUUGUGACUUGUCAGGCAGUGGCUCUAUCAAUCUUUUAUAUGCCUAUCUGAACUUUGCAACAGAGUAGUAUUCAUGAACAAAUCCUCAAGCUUCACAUUUCUGUUUUACACUGCUGUUAGCAAGGCCAAUGCAUGCUCGCAAGGCUUGCCGGUAUGUUGCUACUCUUCACAAGUGCAGUCAUGUAAAUGUUCCUUGAUAGCAUGUCGAUCAUGAUGAUUGUGGCUGCUGUCGUACACUUCUGCAUCAUGUUGUCAGCUUUCACAACAUUUAAGUGUCCCAACCAUCUAGUUCUUGCAUUUAUUUGGUGUAGGACAGCUGGUAGUAUCUUGCCUUGAAGUCGUUCUCCAAUUUUUCUUAUCUUCUCCCGUGGUAUCAUUAUCAUUUCCCUUACCUUAUCAACAAUAUCAGUCACUGGCAAGUCCUUUAUGUCUCUACUCUCUAAUCCAAUUGUUGAAACACUCCGCUAGAUUGUUAGUAAUAUAAUCACACUUAAUUUCUUGGUUGAAGUCACAUCUCAUCCAUUUCAGUGAAUGGUGUUCAUCAAGGUACUUGAACACAUCAUUUCUACCUGAGAACAUUUGGGUCAUGUGGUACUUAAAUUUGUCCUUCUUAUAAGCCUCAACUGCAGGGUACAUACGUGAAUAAAUGACACCACUAUAUCUCUUCAUAAAGUGCAUGAGGUACCUAAAACAUUCCCUUUGAUCAGCAUAAGGAAACACUUGUACCACUGCCUUUUCUAAUCCCUUACAAGCAUCUGUGCAAAUUGCUAGCUGAGGCAUGUCUCCUAUGGCCCUACGCAACUGCUUCAUAAACCAAACCCAGUUAUACUCUGGUUCAGAUUGUAUUAAUCCAAAUGCAACAGGAUACAUCCAGUUAUGACCAUCUAUAUCUGUUACUGAUGCCAAUUGGCCGUUCCACCUACCAUUUAGUGCAGAUAAGGCCUACAUCCUGCUAAAAAACUCUCAAUGCAAGGAGCAAGUGCACAAUAAAAUCGAGUUAGAGGGGCGACCUAUCUUUGGUUAGCAACUCGAACAGCCGAAAUACGUAAACAAAACCACAUAGCAGAAUAGAUUAUAUACCUUAGGUUCAUGUCCCAAGAGUUGGAGUUGGGUUCCAUGUCCAAAUCUGGCAUAGCACCACCUCUCCAAGGGCAAUGGAUCACAUAUUUAGAGCUAACAUCACAAAAUCUAUUGGUUCAUGCGUCCAAAAAACAAGGGAUUUUAGAAAUCGAAGGAGGAUAACAGAAACGAAGGGAAUACAACUGGAACACCAUUCUUACCUCAAAUCUGCUGCCUGUGGGCUUGGAGAACCAAAUGUUGAGUUAUGCGUGCUUGAGUGUCCAAUCCUCUGUGCGCCGCCGGGGAGAACUCAACGCUCGUUCAUUUUUAGUCCAAGCAAACAGAGGCAAGAUGACCUUAUCUUGACCUAAGGACAGAGCUAUUUUUUUCCCGUGGGCUGGAGAGCUGUAAAAGAACAAGUUGAUGGAUUAUAUGAGGCUGGAUGGCAUAACAACAGUGAGGGAUCAGUUGAUAGUGGCAAUGCAGCGAAGCCACCUUUCCGGGGUGGGGAUCUUGCAAAUUUCUCAGCGAAGCCAUCUUUUUAUCUUUGUUUUUAGGUACAUUUCAUAUAGUUCCAUAACUCUAUGCCAUGCUUUUGGAGUAUCUUGAAUUAUGGUUUCCCUAGUUGUUAUUGGCUAUAUGGUCUUGCCAUCUGACUUUUACCACUUGAUUUACUAUUCCUAGGCUUUCUCUUCGUUUUCUUUGUACCAUUGAGUUGGCAUUUGUAACUAACUUUUGUGUGACCCAAUGUACCGCAUCUUUUGCACCUACGUUUUCCUCUUACCAUCGUUUUGGGCUUUUCUUGUUCAGUUGGUUUUGCCUUUGAACUGAUGCCACCUUCAUCAUGUUUUGUCUCUGAACUGUUGCCGCCUUGAAGGGAACUUUUGAACCUCAAAUUUCUGUCUGCCAACAGUUCUUUUGCAAAUUGGUGCACCCAUAUCAAAUGGAAUUUCUACUGUGGGCCAUUGUGACUUGUCAGGCAGUGGCUCUAUCAAUCUUUUAUAUGCCUAUCUGAACAUUGGAACAGAGUAGUAUUCAUGAACAAAUCCUCAAGCUUCACAUUUCUGUUUUGCACUGCUGUUAGCAAGGCCAAUGCAUGCUCGCAAGGCUUGCCAGUAUGUUGCUACUCUUCACAAGUGCAGUCAUGUAAAUGUUCCUUGAUAGCAUGUCGAUCAUGAUGAUUGUGGCUGCUGUCGUACACCUCUGCAUCAUGUAAGUCAGCUUUCACAACAGUUAAGUGUCCCAACCCUCUAGUUCUUGCAUUCAAUUGGUGGAGGACAGCUGGUAGUAUCUUGCCUUGAAGUCGUUCUCCAAUUUUUCUUAUCUUCUCCCGUGGUAUCAUUAUCAUUUCCCUUAUCUUAUCAACAUGAUCAGUCACUGGCAAGUCCUUUAUGUCUCUACUCUCUAAUCCAAUUGUUGAAACACUCCGCUAGAUUGUUAGUAAUAUAAUCACACUUAAUUUCUUGGUUGAAGUCACAUCUCAUCCAUUUCAGUGAAUGGUGUUCAUCAAGGUACUUGAACACAUCAUUGCUACCUGAGAACAUUUGGGUCAUGUGGUACUGAAAUUUGUCCUUCUUAUAAGUCUCAACUGCAGGGUACAUACGUGAAUAAAUGACACCACUAUAUCUCUUCAUAAAGUUUUGCGUGAGGUACCUAAAACAUUCCCUUUGAUUUGCAUAAGGAAACACUUGUACCACUGCCUUUUCUAAUCCCUUACAAGCAUCUGUGCAAAUUGCUAGCUGGGGCAUGUCUCCUAUAGCCCUACGCAACUGCUUCAUAAACCAAACCCAGUUAUACUCUGGUUCAGAUUGUAUUAAUCCAAAUGCAACAGGAUACAUCCAGUUAUGACCAUCUAUAUCUGUUACUGAUUCCAAUUGGCCGUUCCACCUACCAUUUAGUGCAGAUAAGGCCUACAUCCUGCUAAAAAACCCUCAAUGCAAGGAGCAAGUGCACAAUAAAAUCGAGUUAGAGGGGCGACCUAUCUUUGGUUAGCAGUUCGAACAGCCGAAAUACGUAAACAAAACCACAUAGCAGAAUAGAUUAUAUACCUUAGGUUCAUGUCCCAAGAGUUGGAGGUGGGUUCCAUGUCCAAAUCUGGCAUAGCACCACCUCUCCAUGGGCAAUGGAUCACAGAUUUAGAGCCAACAUCACAAAAUCUAUUGGUUCAUGCGUCCAAAAAAACAAGGGAUUUUAGAAAUCGAAGGUGGAUAACAGAAACAGAGGGAAUACAACUGGAACACCAUUCUUACCUCAAAUCUGCUGCCUGUGGGCUUGGAGGAGAACCAAAUGUUGAGUUAUGCGUGCUUGAGUGUCCAAUCCUCUGUGCGCCGCCGGGGAGAACACAACGCUCGUUCAUUUUUAGUCCAAGCAAACAGAGGCAAGAUGACCGUAUCUUGACCUAAGGACAGAGCUAUUUUUUCCCGUGGCUGAAGAGCUGUAAAAGAACAAGUUGAUGGAUUAUAUGAGGCUGGAUGGCAUAACAACAGUGAGGAUCAUUUGAUAGUGGCAAUGCAGCGAAGCCACCUUUCUGGGGUGGUGAUCUUGCAAAUUUCUCAGUUCUGGACAUCAACGACGUUGUCCUGGAGAACGGAGGAUGCGGGCGCGGGACGAAGAGUGGACUACUGUCCAUGCAUGGAUGCCGACUUUUCGGCGUCACAAUCGAUCAGCGCCAAGAAUGAUGAAGACACGAGCUUGGUAGAUGGAAGGAUUAGCAACGCCAAGGCGUCAAUGCUAUGCAAGAAGAACAUGCGAUGCGAGCAAAGCACCACCAACAAUUUUUAAUUUUUUUAUUUUUUUAUCGAACGCGCAGGAGAACUGCACAUCUUAUAUAUUAGAGAGGAAUAAAAAACCUUACAAAAAGGAGAUUUUGCUGGGCAAGUCUCUCAAGGCCCCCACACAAAAACCCGAAGGAAAUUACAAACUGGAACCGUAACUUGACCCGACCUCGGCCAGAGCUACAACUAAGCCUAGGCUCUCAAGCUCCUUAGCUCCUGCUAUUGCCCAGCUAACACACUCAUCUUUGUUUUUAUAAUGAUAGAUGAGAAGGUUGAGUUCUAUAGUUCUUUUAUCUUUGUUUUUCAGGUACAAUUCUUAUAGUUCUUUUUAUCUUUGUUUUUAGGUACAAGUCAUAUAGUUCCAUAACUCUAUGCCAUGCUUUUGGAGUAUCUGGAGCGAUACAGCACUUGGCAGGAAUGAUCGAAUGAGACUCGAAGGUUAAUAAAGAUGUUGAUGCCCCCAUAUUUCAGGUUGCAGAUUACGGAGUGGUUGCUGAUCUGUUUGAGGUUCUGGAUGAGUUACUGAAGCAGAUCCCAAAGAAGAAAUAAGCGACCGUUAAUUUGUUGCUGAUGUUUUCCCUUUUUCUGAAGAAGGAACCUUUGGAAUAUUGGUGAUUGGCCUGAAGAAGGUAGAAAGGGUGGUCUGGAUCAACGACAAAGGUUAAAUAAGACAAUUUUCUUGUUUUUUUCUUCUCUUUUUCUCUAUAAUACCAUAGCUUCAGCAAAACUGGAUCAGUCAAUCUUCAAUAUUAAAAAGGGCAGGCCCGCUGCCGGAGGCUCCCACAUGAGUGGGGUCUAUGAAGCAGUCAUAAUGCACAGAGAGAUGCAAUAGUAACUCUUAAACAAAAAUGUUAUGUAGAACAAUGAUAUAUUAUAUAUACCAUCUGCGUUUGGGAAUAAUGGAAUAGCCUGUGGAACCUCCUCAUCAGAUUCAUCAUCUGAAAUAUCAAUCGCCAUAUUGCUUAUGCCAAGUGAUAAAAAACAUUAGGGAUGUUCAAUACUGAAAGAAGAGGAUCAUUACCUUCUUUGGUACUUGUGACACUGUCAUAUGUGAUAAAAAGACAGAAGCGGUUAAGGAAAAGAAAUUUGUGUUCCAGCUUCUCUAAAAAUAUUGAAUAAAGUAAAAUGAAAGGUUAUUUUCUCUUGCAAUGCCAAAAUUUCUAGCCAAGGGCAGAGAUGGUGCUGGUUUUUGAGGUGACAUCCAGGGCAAGAGUAGGUUCCACUUUCAAGCUUUUUGGCCUAAAUUGGAGGGUUUCCAGGAUGUGGUGGCUACUUGGCCCUCGAUUUCUGAUGGUCAGUGCCCUCUAGCUACCCUAUCUUGAAAAUAAGGGUUGUUGCUCGUGGGUUGCAGAGUUGGAGUGAUAAAAAGGUGGGGCAUGUGAAAAAUCAACUUGAUUUAGCUAAAGAGCUCUUGCAUCAACUUGAAAUAGCCCAAGGUUGUUGAAGAAACACAGUCUUGCUUUGGCAUCCUUCUGAAAUCUCGCAUUGGAUGGCUAAAAGAUGGGGAUGCCAACACCCGUUUGUUCCAUUCUUAUGGUAGGUACCGAAAAAGGAAGAAUUUUAUACCCACUUACCUAGUAUCACUACUAUAGAUGAUAGAGUGCUGACUGUGCAUGAGGAUAAAGCAACAGAAUUUCUCAACUUCUAUAACGGGUUGCUGGUUACAGUGGAGCUUAGAGACACUACCAUUGACCUUGAUGCGCUGAGGAUUCCUUUCUCAUGAUUUGUCUGCUCUUGAAGUACCCAUUUCGGAGGUGGAGGUGUGGAACACCAUCGAGCACCUUCUUUCGGAAAGGCCCCGGGGCUGGAUGGCUUCACUGGGUGCUUCUAUAAAUUUUACUGGCCGAUUAUUAAGGGGAGUGUCAUGGCUGCUAUCUCUUGUGUGUGGGCUCAGAAAUUCAGGAAUAUGGAGCUUUUGAAUUCAGCCUUCAUCUCGCUGUUGCCUAAAAAGGUUGAUGCCCAACAUGUUUAGGACUUUCAACCUAUUAGCCUUGUGCAUAGCUUUGCUAAGCUCAUUACAAAAAAUUUGGCCAAUAGGUUGGCCGGUAAGCUGCAAAUGAUGGUCUCUCCUAAUCAAACAGCCUUUACCAAGAAGAGAUUUAUUUAGGAUAACUUUAUGUUAGUGCAACAAACGACCAGAUUUCUUAACAAUCAGAAACAACCUAGAAUCCUUUUUAAACUUCACAUUUCAAAGGCUUUUGAUUCAGUCUCUUGGGCUUUCCUUCUUGAGGUCCUGAGGAAACUUGGUUUUGGUGUCAUUUGGUGUGACUUGAUUAGUGGGCUUUUCGCUUCUUCAUCGACAAGAAUUAUUUAGAAUGGUGUGCCUGGUGACUACAUUGCCCAUCGACGAGGAUUAAUGCAGGGUGAUCCCCUAUCCCCUAUGCUUUUCAUCCUCGUCAUGGAUGUUCUUUCUCACCUUCUACGGCGUGCUUUUGAGGAUGGCCUUCUACAACUUUCUUCGCUUACAACACCCUAUGUCUCUUUAUGCCGAUGAUGCAGUGGUCUUCUUAAAACCUAUCCUAUCGGACAUCAUUUUGACUGUGAACCUCCUGACACUGUUUGGCAAUGCUUCGGGAUUGAAGACUAAUGUGGAAAAAAGUAGUGUUUUUCCUAUUCGUUGUACUAAUGAGGAGGUCGAAGUCAUCUAGGAGCUGCUGCCCUGUGGGGUUUCAGAAUUCCCUUGCAAAGCCUCCCAUUGUCUCUCAAGAAGCUUAAUACAGAUCAAUUACAAGCCAUCAUCGAUCGUACUGUGGAUAUGUGGCCAGGAUGGAAGGCGGAGCUUAUGUCUAGGGCUGGUUGUGCCACUUAUGUCUAGUGUGUGCUAACAACUAAAGUUAUUUACCCAGCUAUGGCUUUGGAUCUACUUGGUUGGGUUCUUAAAGCUAUCGAUAAGCUGCGUAAAGGUCUUUUGUGGAAAGGAAGAAAAGAAGUAAAAGGUGGCUACUAUCUGCUAUCUUGGCCUAAGGUCACUAGGCCAAAGGAGUUGGGUGGCUUGAGUAUUCAUGAUCUGCAAAAGCUUGGGUGGGCUCUUCGGGUCAGAUGGCUAUGGUUGCAAAUGACGGAGCCCCCUAGACCUUGGUCUGAAUUUCAAGUUCAGAUUUGUGAUAUUGUCAAAAAACUUGUUUCAGUGGCUGUGAUUUCGCAAGUGGGCAAACACAAUGAUACUCUUUUUUGGGCUGACAAUUGGUUACAUGGAAGGAGUGUAAAAGGCUAAAAGCUCUUGCUCCGAUUGUUUUUGCUUUAGUCUCCAAGCGUAUUGCUAUCAAGAGGCUGGUUAGUGAUCAUAUGUGGGUCAGUGACAUUCGAGGUGCCCUUACGGCCAGAGUUAUUUGGGAGUUCGUGGAGCUGUUUCAGAUAGUUGAUGAUGUUAUUCUCCAACCUGAGAUUCCUGACGCUCAUAUUUGGAGUCUUUCCCUUCUGGACAGUUCUCCACUAAAUCUGCCUAUGAUGCUUUAUGCUUCGUUUGGAUGUCGAUAUUGAAGGGCAUGGAAUUGAAUUGAGUUCAAUACCUAAUCAGUCAUGGUAUUGAAAUAAUAUGUGAUUCCAAUUCUAUUAUUUCGAUGUCGCUGGAUUGGGGUUUGGAAUUGUGCGGUCUAAUUCCAUGCAAUACAGAGGGGUGACGUUCGGUAUUGGGAGGAGUUUCUAGUUAUAGUCCAAUUCCAGGGAAUUGAGUCUCUGGUUCCAAAUCUCAAUUUUGUGUGCAACCAAACGACAUAAUUUAGGAAAGGUGAUUCCAAUUCUCAAUUCUAUGCUCUAAUAUCGACAUCCAAACGAGCUAUUAUAUUUUUUUGGUUUAACCUCUUUUGAUUCUUCUGAUAGAAUACGGAAGACAUGGGCUCCGACAAAUGUAGAUUCUUCAUAUGGUUGGUUGAACAUGACUGAUGUUGGACUGCUGACCAAGCUUGCUAGGCGCGAGUUGCCUCACUCCGAGCGAUGCCCCUUGUAUGAUCAGGAAGAGGAAUCCAUCGAACACCUGUUGGCUUCUUGCAUCUUUGCCCGACAAUUUUGGUUUCAACUGCUUCGGUCAAUUGGGCUUCAGUCCCUUGCCCGUGGGCAUGGGGAACGUUUUGAAAACUGGUGGAGGACUCGAAGUUCUCAACUUGUAGGGUUGCAUCAAAAGGGCUUUAAUUCCUUAGUUAUUCUAGGGGCUUGGGUUAUUUGGAAACAUAGAAAUAGAUGCGUGUUUGAUGGGGCGACGCUCCUAGCUGCUAAAGAGGAGGUCUUAGGAUGGUGUUUAGCAGGAGCUAAGGGGCUGACCUUUCUCCAGGUUUUUGACCCUGUCCCGGAUUGAUAAAUAGCUCUCAGGCAGAGAAUAUGUGACCUUGCUCCUAGGCUUUUUCAAUGUAUACCCAGGAUGAUUUCAAAAAGAAGAAUUGUUCGGGAGGCUCUUCUAAAUAGAAAUGGGUCUCCGACAUGAAAGGUGCUCUCUCUAGGAGUUUUGGUGGAUUAUCUACAACCUUGGAACCUUCUUUUUGAGGUAGUGUUGCAGGCUACUAUUGAAGACAGACAUGUUUUCAGUAUUUCCUCAGAUGGUAACUAUUCAACUAAAGUGGCAUACGAAGGGCUCUUCAUGGGAUGAGUCUAUUUCAGCCACUAUCCCAGGGUGUGGAAAACCUGGGCCCUGCCUAAAUGCAGAUUUUUUCUUUGGCUCACUGCGCAUAACAGGUGGUGGACUGCUGACAGGUUGGCCAAAAGAGGGCUUGAUCACCCACCAAAAUGCCCCUUACGUGACCAAGAGGAUGAAACCUUAGACCAUCUCUUGGUCGCCUGUGUUUUCUGAAGGGAUUUCUGGUUUCAGCUCCUGAGGACUUUCGACCUUCAAGUGCUAGCCCUCAGCCUGGUUUGUCUUCCUUCAUGAGCUGGUGGGAAGAAGCUUCUUAUUCGGUCAGGGGUCUUGUUAGAAAGGAGCUCAAUUCUCUUAUUGCAUUCGGGGCCUGGAUUAUUUGGAAUCUUCGCAACAAAUGCAUCUUUGAUAAUUGGAACCCUAAUGUGUCUUUAGCCAUUAGGAUGGCUACAGAGGAAAGAUGGAUGUGGGAAAUGGCCAGGGCUAAAGGCCUUUCCUACCUAUGUGCCCCUCCUCCUUGAGGCUUAGUCUUAGAGGGGGUUUUAGGCUAGUAGUUGGGUGCUGUCCUCUUAUGGAUUCUUUUGGGUUUCUGGUUUUUAGACCUCUGUAAGGAAGUCUAAAUUUUUGUUGUACCUGGUCUUCUUAGACCUUUUUAUCUCCUUAAUAUAAUGGGGCGCAGUUCUCCUGCGGUUUUCGAGAAAAAAGGUAGUGGGUGAGUUCAGUUUGUUGGCUUUUGUACUGUUCCUUUGAGGGUUCUUUUCCCCUCGUUUUUUCUCUUAAUAUAAUGAUACACAACUCUCCUGCGUGUUUUAGAAAAAAAGGUGUUUAGUAACUCAAACUCCUCGAAUAACAAACUAGUUUUACAUUGAGGUCCCGUUUGUUUCUUUUCAUUUUGAGGAAUUGAAAUCUUACUAUUGUAAUAGGCUAUUUUUUUAGAAUGCGACAUUCCACCACUUUCCAAAGUUAUCAUAUAAGCCUAUCUCAAAUUCAUGGGGGUGAGAAAUGAAAAUUGAUAUUAUAGAUUUACAUGUUAUUUUUUCGAUAUACAACUUAUAGCACACUCUUCUACUUGCUUAGUUAUAACAUGAAUGUAGUAUAUAACUAUCUCUCUCAUAUGGUUUAAGAUAAUAUAUAAAUAUAUUACAUAUAUAAAUAUAUGAACUUAAUUAGUUUUGUCUAAAUUAUAAUUAUUAAAAUAGAAUUCAAUUCCAACGAAACAAACGGGGCCUGAGGGUAUUUGUCAACUGAUAGUGUUCCAAUCGGAAACUCUUUGCCACCAACCUUCACAAAAACUCUCACAUCCUCAUUCCCCUUAUUAUCAUGUAAUGCUAUCUUAAAAGACAAAUAAUUGAAAAGUAAAAAAAAAGGAACUCCACAAAAAUAAUGUAAACCAAUAGUGAUCAUUACUAGUAGUAGGUCACACUUCACUGUGGCUCCAGUUCUGCCUACAACUCCUGGAAAUGUUAGCAUGCCUUUUGGUCUCUACUCCUUUAAAAGGAGAGUUUCGUGCGUCGUUAGACUUUUCAUGCGUCGUACCACAUGCUACCCUCCCCCCUGCUCGCUAUAGCGAGACGGCCGUUCCCGCCCCCACCUCUAAGAUUGUUGUCGUCCUUUACCGCCGCGCCCCUUUCCUCCCAUGGAGUACGCACCCUCCUCGCUCGCUUUCGUCGUCCACCGCCUGUCCGUCUCGCAUCUCCCACAGAAACCAUCUCGCCUAGGCAGCGAGGCCCGCGUCACCAUCGUCGACGUCAGGGACGAGGAGAGGGGUUACGACAGCCACAUCGUGGGGUUCCACCACUACGCCAACGACACCUAUGCGGAGCGGAUGCCUGAGCUCGCCUAGGCAACUGAGGCCAAGGAAACCCUCGACUUCCACUGCACACUCAGCAAGGCUGCCAGAUGGAUCUCUUAUGGAUAUUGUUUUAAGUCUACCCACUUGAUGCUGUCUACGAUUUCCCUGAAGAUGUCAAAUCGAACAAAAGAUGUGCAGGUGCAUCAAACUGGACAGUAAAGGACAUUGUUGAAUCAGUGAGGAAUGAAUUUGGUAGCAUUGACAUAUUAGUGCAUUCUCUUGCCAAUGGCCCAGAGGAUCUUCUGUUUUUGGCUUGUAGUCAUCUAGAUAACAGAACUACAAUGACUAGAGUGUCCAGAAUGGAUUUUGGAGAUUUUGAUAUCUAACCAUGAGGAUGUGGAGGCAACAAUUCAUUGUGCGGAGUGACUCUCAAUGGUUGGACGAUCUUGCACUGGAGGCCAAAGGAUCAGGUGGUCCCUUCACUCUUAAAAAGCUGUAGGUUAGCUAGAUAUCGUGGUGAACUUCGGGCUACAUCUUCAAAGGCUGCUACUGAUGAAGUGGUGCUUGCAAAAACAACUCAACAAACUGCAGACCAAGAAGUGGGUGCUACAAUUUCAGCAACCCGUAUAACAACACAAUAUCAGCAGGAACAGCUGACUGUCAGCCAUGAAACGCUGACUACACUUUCAGCAGGAACUCCACCACGCAUGAAAGGAUGGCUAGUUAAAAAAUCACCCCCAAGAAGAAGAAAGUGUGAAGUAUUUGUGUUUUGUGUGUGAACUGAAAUCUGGGAACUAUGUAUCUGUGGUUUGUGUCUGUGUACUGAAAUCUGGGAACUGAAACUAUGUAUGUGUGGUUUCUGUGUGUGAACUGGAACUGAGUCACAGAACUAUGUAUCUGUGAUAUGUGUGAACUGCAAUCUGAAAUUGUCAGUUUAUUGCUGAA